UGUGUGUAAUUUAAAAAAAAUAUCAAGCUGUGACCCUGAUAAUAGGAGCCUCCUCAAUCAG
rnacentral:tRNA from 1 species